ACUGAAUGUUUGUGUAAUUUUCGCGUUAAAACACGAAGAGAAUUGGACGGGACUGUGGAUUGAAAUUUUACUCUCUGCGCUAAUUUCUUUUCCAUGUUUUGCCACAGAUCGCUGCCACUGAACCUAUGAUGCGUCUAUUCCUUAUAUUGCGAUGAAUUACUUCGAUCGCUUUGUUUCAACGAAUUCGCAUACAGAAUUACAAGGGUCUUCUUUACUUGAUAAAGUUCGUUUGGUUGCAAUAUCUUGCUACACACUUUCCACCAAGAUGAGGACAAAGAAUUUCUCACAUGAGCAAUUUCUGCCAGGUGAGAGAGUUGACCACAUAAACGUUCGUUGACUGUUAUUCUGCA